UGGUGCAGAGCUCUGUGGCCUUGGACCAGGACACCCAGUACCUUGAGCUGCUUAUGAAAACCAGGAACUGUUGUUGGAAGAUGCCCCGGGAGAGGCUGUGUGCUGCCCUUCAGGGGGCAGAUCCAGCCCACAGUUGUGCCUGCGGCACUGAAUGGUGCUUCAAAUGCCAUAAAAUACAUCUUUCAUCUGUGUUUAUUCCAAAAUAUUACUGAUUUAAAGACAAAGCUGUGCAAAUCAAGCUCUAAGAAGAUUACUACGUAUCUACCAUGCCAGGACCUUCAUUCCUCUGUCUCGUACAACGUGUCAGGUAGCGCAUGGGAGACCUGUAGACCCAGUUUCUCAAACAGGAGCAGCUCCUGCCCGAGUCACCUGCAUUUCUUCUGAAGCAGCUUGCUCGGAAAGCGAAGGCGGCGUUUUCAAGGAGGACACUAGAUGGCACUUUUGACUUCUUUAACCCAAUUUUGUGCUUUCUAGCCGGGGGAGAGAGUAUCUUUAAUGACGACCUUGUCAAAACCUCGGGAUCAUGUUGGCUACAACUUUCUUACUACUGUUUUGCGACUUGUAAGUAACCAGUUUCACAAGUUGUAUUUAGCUGUAAAAACUGUGAUUGCUUUUGGUUAUAAACAUAUCUAAAAAUAU